rnacentral:rRNA from 1 species
GUUAAUAGCAUACUCAUUUGACGUUAGCUGCAGAAGAAGCACCGGCUAAAUCCGUGCCAGCAGCCGCGGUAAUACGGAGGGUGCGAGCGUUAAUUGGAAUUACUGGGCGUAAAGCGCAUGCAGGUGGUUUGUUAAGUCAGAUGUGAAAGCCCGGGGCUCAACCUCGGAAUUGCAUUUGAAACUGGCAAACUAGAGUACUGUAGAGGGGGGUAGAAUUUCAGGUGUAGCGGUGAAAUGCGUAGAGAUCUGAAGGAAUACCGGUGGCGAAGGCGGCCCCCUGGACAGAUACUGACACUCAGAUGCGAAAGCGUGGGGAGCAAACAGGAUUAGAUACCCUGGUAGUCCACGCCGUAAACGAUGUCUACUUGGAGGUUGUGGCCUUGAGCCGUGGCUUUCGGAGCUAACGCGUUAAGUAGACCGCCUGGGGAGUACGGUCGCAAGAUUAAAACUCAAAUGAAUUGACGGGGGCCCGCACAAGCGGUGGAGCAUGUGGUUUAAUUCGAUGCAACGCGAAGAACCUUACCUACUCUUGACAUCUACAGAAGCCAGCGGAGACGCAGGUGUGCCUUCGGGAACUGUAAGACAGGUGCUGCAUGGCUGUCGUCAGCUCGUGUUGUGAAAUGUUGGGUUAAGUCCCGCAACGAGCGCAACCCUUAUCCUUGUUUGCCAGCACUUCGGGUGGGAACUCCAGGGAGACUGCCGGUGAUAAACCGGAGGAAGGUGGGGACGACGUCAAGUCAUCAUGGCCCUUACGAGUAGGGCUACACACGUGCUACAAUGGCGCAUACAGAGGGCGGCCAACUUGCGAAAGUGAGCGAAUCCCAAAAAGUGCGUCGUAGUCCGGAUUGGAGUCUGCAACUCGACUCCAUGAAGUCGGAAUCGCUAGUAAUCGUGGAUCAGAAUGCCACGGUGAAUACGUUCCCGGGCCUUGUACACACCGCCCGUCACACCAUGGGAGUGGGCUGCAAAAGAAGUGGGUAGUUUAACCUUCGGGAGGACGCUCACCACUUUGUGGUUCAUGACUGGGGUGAAGUCGUAACAAGGUAACCG